ACUUGAUAGAUUCAUUUACAUCAAUGUUGUGAUCUCAUAUUGUACAAGAUGAAUGCAUUAUUAAGUGGCUUGAUUUUGAUGGUAGUGGUAAUGGCUGCUCAGUUAGGAAUAACAAAUGGUUGUAAAGGUUGCAACGUAAAAGGAGUUUGCUAUUCUGCCAAUGAACAGUGGUUGGAUAAAUGUUCGACGAAAAAAUGUUCUGUUGAUUCCAAUGGUUACGAAACAAAAUGGGCAACAUCAAUAGUGAAAACACAAUGCGAGGACACAAAUGGUAAAUGUGUAGAUGAAGGUCAGAAGAAUUCUGAUGGGUGUACCUGUAAGGUUUUCGGAACGAGGUGGGAAUACAGUUGUUAUGGAAAAUAAAAGUCUUUGAAUAUUA